GCAGACGCCAAGCAUCAAUAGCGUGGUCUGUGCUAUGUGAUUGCAUUGUUACUGCUGGAGUGAGCAAUUUCAGAUUGCGUCAUGAUGGCGUGCCCCGUUAGCGUCGUGAUCGGCGUGCCCUGUUAGCGUCAUGGUUGGCGUGCCCUGUGUUAGCGUCAUGAUUGGCGUGCCCUGUGUUAACACGAUACGUUUUAUUUAUUCGUGUGCUGUGAUUUCAACACCAGCAUUGGUCAGAGGAGACUCGCAAGCAGCAAGGAAAGGAGGCUGCUCUUCAUCAGCCAGAAGUUUGAUACAAAGGAGUACACAAGUUGAUUUCAUUACUUAUGGGCAGCAAUUUUAUCGAGCCAUGACAUCUGAUUUCUGUUAUCCUACUUAUGGUGACCUGUCACUUGAUGAUAAGCCAAACCUAAGUUGCCUCUAGGAAUUAUGAAUGUCAAAUUUGGGACACAGCUGUGCAGUUUUUUUAUCGAGCUCUGACAUCUGAAGACCACCAUUAUUACCUGUUGACGGGACCAAGAAAAGGAAUUUUGCCGGUAUCAUCACAUAACUUCCGCCACAUACCAAGUAAUCUCCCUGUGGACUCCUUUGUCAAACUUCUAGAUGAUGAAGAGGAGCCUACUUUCCUUGCUGCUUGCGAGUCUCCUCUGACCAAUGCUGGAGUUGAAACAUGGACUACUUUAUAUUAAGGACUGGACUCAGUCCAAUCUCGCCGUGUUAAUGCCUGUCCGGGGAAGAAAGUCGACUUGACUCAUACGCCAUCUACCCGCCAAACGGCCUAAGUUUUUACUUAGUGUUGUGAGUGUGUUUGAAGGCUGGAAGUGAAGUUAAAUAUUGUAAACAAAGUGACUUAGACAUUCGCAAUUCCGUGUUUUUUUAAAUUAUAUGUUUCCAUUGGUCAUCAUUGUAUUGAUAUAUAAAUGUUGGUGGACGUGUAUUGGCAUUUGCUGCGAGAAGUGUCGAUUCGUGAAACUGAAAGCUGAAGAAUUACGGAAGUUUCUUUAUGUGCUGCAAUUGUGUAUGUAAUUCCAAACACACCUACGGUUAUUUAAAGGUAACCUAUUAGGUGACUGCAGUUGUAUUCCUUGACAGGAAUAUUCAAGAUCCGACAAUGGUAAUGCCAUAUUACCCCACGCAGGUGAACAAAGGAACAUUGUCAACCUCAUAGUGGGUUAGAGAUAAACA